rnacentral:rRNA from 1 species
GGAUGCGGUCAUACCAGCACUAAAGCACCGGAUCCCAUCAGAACUCCGAAGUUAAGCGUGCUUGGGCGAGAGUAGUACUGGGAUGGGUGACCUCCUGGGAAGUCCUCGUGUUGCGUUCC